UCCUCCCUCUGUCGGCGUGCUUAACACAUGCAAGUCGAACGGAAAGGCCCUGCUUUUGUGGGGUGCUCGAGUGGCGAACGGGUGAGUAACACGUGAGUAACCUGCCCUUGACUUUGGGAUAACUUCAGGAAACUGGGGCUAAUACCGGAUAGGAGCUCCUGCUGCAUGGUGGGGGUUGGAAAGUUUCGGCGGUUGGGGAUGGACUCGCGGCUUAUCAGCUUGUUGGUGGGGUAGUGGCUUACCAAGGCUUUGACGGGUAGCCGGCCUGAGAGGGUGACCGGCCACAUUGGGACUGAGAUACGGCCCAGACUCCUACGGGAGGCAGCAGUGGGGAAUUUUGCACAAUGGGCGGAAGCCUGAUGCAGCAACGCCGCGUGCGGGAUGACGGCCUUCGGGUUGUAAACCGCUUUCGCCUGUGACGAAGCGUGAGUGACGGUAAUGGGUAAAGAAGCACCGGCUAACUACGUG
rnacentral:rRNA from 1 species